GAUGAACGCUGGCGGCGUGCCUAAUACAUGCAAGUCGAGCGGACGGACGAGACGCUUGCUUCUCUGAUGUUAGCGGCGGACGGGUGAGUAACACGUGGAUACCCUACCUAUCAGACUGGGAUAACUUCGGGAAACCGUAUCUAAUACCGGAUAAUAUUUUGAACCGCAUGGUUCAAAAGUGAAAGACGGUCUUGCUGUCACUUAUAGAUGGAUCCGCGCUGCAUUAGCUAGUUGGUAAGGUAACGGCUUACCAAGGCAACGAUGCAUAGCCGACCUGAGAGAGUGAUAGGCGACACGGGAGGUGGAACACGGUCAAUAGUACUGCGAGAGGCACCAGUAGGGAAUCUGACGCAACAGGCGAAAGCAUGACGGAGCAACGCGGCGUGUGAGAUGAAGGUCUUCGGUGCGUAAAACCGUGUUAUGGGGUAAAAACAGAUGUGUAAGGAACUGAGCACAGCGUGACGGUACCUAAUAAAAAAGCCACGGCUAACUACGUG
rnacentral:rRNA from 1 species